UACGUAGGGUGCAAGCGUUAUCCGGAAUUAUUGGGCGUAAAGAGCUUGUAGGCGGUUUGUCGCGUCUGCUGUGAAAAUCCGGGGCUCAACCCCGGACUUGCAGUGGGUACGGGCAGACUAGAGUGUGGUAGGGGAGACUGGAAUUCCUGGUGUAGCGGUGAAAUGCGCAGAUAUCAGGAGGAACACCGAUGGCGAAGGCAGGUCUCUGGGCCACUACUGAC
rnacentral:rRNA from 1 species